GUGGGGAAUAUUGCACAAUGGGCGCAAGCCUGAUGCAGCAACGCCGCGUGAGGGACGACGGCCUUCGGGUUGUAAACCUCUUUUAGCAGGGAAGAAGCGAAAGUGACGGUACCUGCAGAAAAAGCACCGGCUAACUACGUGCCAGCAGCCGCGGUAAUACGUAGGGUGCAAGCGUUGUCCGGAAUUAUUGGGCGUAAAGAGCUCGUAGGCGGUUUGUCGCGUCUGCUGUGAAAACCCGAGGCGCAACCUCGGGCCUGCAGUGGGUACGGGCAGACUAGAGUGCGGUAGGGGAGAUUGGAAUUCCUGGUGUAGCGGUGGAAUGCGCAGAUAUCAGGAGGAACACCGAUGGCGAAGGCAGAUCUCUGGGCCGUAACUGACGCUGAGGAGCGAAAGCGUGGGGAGCGAACAGGAUUAGAAACCCCAGUAGUCC
rnacentral:rRNA from 1 species